UUCAUUACUUUGAAUUGCGUUUUGAAACAGUACAAGUUUGCUAUCCCGAAUAUAUGUGCUUCAUGUUUAAUUUUAGAUAAAAACAACAGCGUCCAGGUUUUGGAGCGACGUGAGGCUUUUGGUCCACCAAUCGUGAUGUGGAGGCAGCCGAUGUGAACUUAAAACAAGAACAUGUGGGUCAGCAAAGACGAGACACAAUCCCAUCAGGACUUGUGAUUAAGACCGGCAGCGCCGGCGUGAGGUAGGG